UACGUAGGGUGCGAGCGUUAAUCGGAAUUACUGGGCGUAAAGCGUGCGCAGGCGGUUUUGUAAGCCAGAUGUGAAAUCCCCGGGCUCAACCUGGGAAUGGCAUUUGGGACUGCAAGGCUGGAGUGCGGCAGAGGAGACUGGAAUUCCUGGUGUAGCAGUGAAAAUGCGUAGAUAUCAGGAGGAAUACCGAUGGCGAAGGCAGGUCUCUGGGCUGACACUGACGCUCAUGCACGAAAGCGUGGGGAGCAAACAGG
rnacentral:rRNA from 1 species